GGUCCCGGCCCGCCUCCCCUCAGGUCCCGUCCUCCUUCCCGGCCAGCCUCCUCUCAGGUCCCGGUCCGUGGGCUCCCUAACCCCCCACCCCGGACCAGACCGCUGGACCCGGCCCGCGAGCAGGCCGGGGAGGGAGCCUGGGUGCGGAGGCCGAGGGGGAGGAGAGCCCGGCGCGAGUCAGGAAUAACAUCACCUACCUACCUCUCUGGGAUGUCUGAGGGAUGAAGUGAGAAGGUGAGAACGAAGCCUGGCCGACUCCUUCUUUGUGAGACCCUGAGGGGAGGACUAGCUAAGUAAGCUGUGCCGACUCCUGACCCAUGGAAACCGUGAGAUAAUAA